UACAGGGGGCUCGAGCGUUAGUCGGAAUCACUGGGCUUAAAGGGUGCGUAGGCGGCCCGCCAAGUGCUUUGUGAAAUCCCCGAGCUCAACUCGGGAACCGCAGGGCAAACUGGUGGGCUUGAGGCAGGUAGGGGCUGGAAGAACAGUUGGUGGAGCGGUGAAAUGCGUAGAUAUCAACUGGAAUGCCGAUGGGGAAGCCGUCCAGCUGGGCCUGUCCUGACGCUGAGGCACGAAAGCGUGGGGAGCAAACAGG
rnacentral:rRNA from 2 species